AGAAUCAACGCUGGCGGCGUGCCUAACACAUGCAAGUCGAACGAGAAAGUGGAGCAAUCCAUGAGUAAAGUGGCGACCGGGUGAGUAACACGUGACUAACCUACCUUCGAGUGGGGGAUGACCUCGGGAAACCGAGGCUAAUACCGCAUAACAUCGUGAGAUCAAAGCAGUAAUGCGCUGGAAGAGGGGGUCGCGGCUGAUUAGCUAGUUGGCGGGGUAAUGGCCCACAAGGCGAAGAUCGGUA
rnacentral:rRNA from 1 species